rnacentral:rRNA from 1 species
ACGGAGAGUUUGAUUCUGGCUCAGAACGAACGCUGGCGGCGUGGAUAAGACAUGCAAGUGGGACGACGUUGCAUAAGUAGCAAUAUUUGUGCAACGUAGUCGCGUAAGGGUGCGUAACACGUGGGUAAUUUACCACAAAUCUCAGAAUAACCUACCGAAAGGUUGGCUAAUACUGAAUUUUAUGUCAAAGCGGCAUCGCUUUUACAUUAAAGCCGGGGACCUUAAUGGCCUGGCGUUUUGUGAUAAGCCCGCGGCCUAUCAGCUAGUUGGCGAGGUAAAGGCUCACCAAGGCUAAGACGGGUAGCUGGUCUUAGAGGACGACCAGCCACACUGGAACUGAGACACGGUCCAGACACCUACGGGUGGCAGCAGUCGAGAAUUUUUCACAAUGGGCGCAAGCCUGAUGGAGCGACGCCGCGUGGGGGAUGAAGGGCUUCGGCUCGUAAACCCCUGUCAUUCGGGAAAAAAUCUAAUACGCAAAUAGCGUUUUGGUUGAUGGUACCGAAAGAGGAAGGGACGGCUAACUCUGUGCCAGCAGCCGCGGUAAUACAGAGGUCCCAAGCGUUGUUCGGAUUUACUGGGCGUAAAGAGCGCGUAGGUGGUUGAUCAAGUCUUAUGUAAAAUCUACGGGCUUAACCCGUAUUGGCCAUAAGAAACUAGUUGACUUGAGUGCUGGAGGGGAGAUUGGAAUUCUCGGUGUAGCAGUGAAAUGCGUAGAUAUCGAGAAGAACACCAGAGGCGAAAGCGAAUCUCUAGACAGCAACUGACGCUAAAGCGCGAAAGCUAGGGGAUCAAACGGGAUUAGAUACCCCGGUAGUCCUAGCUGUAAACGGUGCAUGCUUGCCGUGAGCAGAUUUAUAACUGUUUGUGGCGUAGUUAACAUGUUAAGCAUGCCGCCUGGGAAGUACGGUCGCAAGAUUAAAACUCAAAGAAAUUGACGGGGGCCUGCACAAGCGGUGGAGUAUGUGGCUUAAUUCGAUGCAACGCGAAGAACCUUACCUGGCCUUGACAUGCAAGUGGUAGAAGUUUGAAAAAACGACGAUUCCGCAAGGAAAGCUUGCACAGGUGCUGCAUGGCUGUCGUCAGCUCGUGUCGUGAGAUGUUGGGUUAAGUCCCGCAACGAGCGCAACCCCUGUGUCCUGUUGCUCCUGGUAAUACCAAAUGCACACUGGACAGACUGCCUCGCCUAAACGAGGAGGAAGGUGGGGAUGACGUCAAGUCAGGAUGGCCCUUACGGCCAGGGCUGCACACGUACUACAAUGCCUGACACAAAGGGCUGCUAAACGGCAACGUCAAGCAAAUCCCAAAAAUCAGGCUAAGUUCAGAUUGUCGUCUGCAACUCGACGACAUGAAGUUGGAAUCGCUAGUAAUGGCACAUCAGCUACGGUGCCGUGAAUACGUUCCCAGGCCUUGUACACACCGCCCGUCACAUCAUGAAAGCCGGUCUGACCCGAAGUCGGCAUUACGCCGCCGAAGGUUUGGCUGGUAAUUGGGAUGAAGUCGUAACAAGGUAGCCGUAGGGGAACCUGCGGCUGGAUCACCUCCUUUCUA